UAGUUGGCUACCUUAUACAUUGCACAUCUCCAAUGCAACAAACUUAUACCGCGAGUGUGCAUGCUCGCACGACAGAACAAUCAAUUGCGUGUGGUGGAUGCAGCGGCACCGGGGGCUGUUGAGACCUUCCCUUUGGGGCCGGUCAAGGUACCAGCCAAGCCUGGGUUGAUCUCCCCGGCAGAGUCCGUGACAACUUUGGCGGCCUGGGUGACGGCAGUGCCGUCGUUUUGGUGCACCGGGCCCUGAGCUUCCCUGACGCUGCCUGAGUCCACUAGCUGCUCGGCCAGCUUUCUACCGGCGGCUGCCACCGGAGGAGUGAGGGAGCACACAGCACAGCUGCACGACGACGCCGGCCAGAACAAGGAGCAGGACGACGGAGUUCCUGGCCAUGGCAGCCAUCAGAAACUAGCUGCAAUGGUAUGUCAGUA
rnacentral:lncRNA from 1 species